rnacentral:rRNA from 1 species
GACGAACGCUGGCGGCGUGCUUAACACAUGCAAGUCGAACGGAGUGGCGAACGGGUGAGUAACACGUGGGUGAUCUGCCUUUCGCUUCGGGAUAAGCUUGGGAAACUGGGUCUAAUACCGGAUAGUGCAAGAUGAGCUCGAGGCCUAUCAGCUUGUUGGUGGGGUAAUGGCCUACCAAGGCGUGGACGGGUAGCCGGCCUGAGAGGGUGUACGGCCACAUUGGGACGGAGUUAGGGACCAGACACCUACGGGAGGCAGCAGGCGGGAAGAUUGCACAAUGGGCGGAAGACUGAUGCAGCGACGACGCGUGGGGGAUGAAGGCCUUCGGGUUGUAAACUCCUUUCGACAGUGACGCGGUACCUGUAGAAGAAGCACCGGCUAACUACGUGCCAGCAGCCGCGGUAAUAC